rnacentral:rRNA from 1 species
GAUGAACGCUGGCGGCGUGCCUAAUACAUGCAAGUCGAGCGAACGGACGAGAAGCUUGCUUCUCUGAUGUUAGCGGCGGACGGGUGAGUAACACGUGGAUAACCUACCUAUAAGACUGGGAUAACUUCGGGAAACCGGAGCUAAUACCGGAUGAUAUUUUGAACCGCAUGGUUCAAAAGUGAAAGACGGUCUUGCUGUCACUUAUAGAUGGAUCCGCGCUGCAUUAGCUAGUUGGUAAGGUAACGGCUUACCAAGGCAACGAUGCAUAGCCGACCUGAGAGGGUGAUCGGCCACACUGGAACUGAGACACGUUCCAGCCUCCUACGGGAGGCAGCAGUAGGGAAUCUUCCGCAAUGGGCGAAAGCCUGACGGAGCAACGCCGCGUGAGUGAUGAAGGUCUUCGGAUCGUAAAACUCUGUUAUUAGGGAAGAACAUAUGUGUAAGUAACUGUGCACAUCUUGACGGUACCUAAUCAGAAAGCCACGGCUAACUACGUG